rnacentral:rRNA from 1 species
GUAAAAAUUUGUAACAAGGUCUCCGUUGGUGAACCAGCGGAGGGAUCAUUG